GCUAACUGUAAUUUUGCACGGUUCCCGUUCGUCUUAUUUAAACUUUUUUUAUUAUUAAUAUUAUUAUUAUUAUUAGAUGAUAAAACAUAAAUAUUACUUUAUAUGUGACUAACUUUUUAUAAAAUUUUUAAAUAAGGCGGACGGUGAAUGUAGUAGCUGC
rnacentral:pre_miRNA from 1 species